AUGUUUGCUCUUCCAGAUUAAGAAAACUUUCUCUUAAGUUAUCCAUGAUACACAGAAAUAGGAUAAAAUAUUCUUCUGUGAACAAAUGGAAAUGUUUGACUUUUUUCUGUACCUGAGCCCUCUGAAACUGAAAAAGUGUCAGUGAGUAUUCUUUCUUUGGCAAUUACAUUUAUUUGCAUUAAGUUCAAUAAGAACCUCUUCUUGUAACUGGAAACCACUGGAAACACUGGUUGUCCUACCAAGUCUUUGACUGAAGUGUCGUAUUUGAGAGCAACAUGCAUAGACUCAGAUAUGACCAGACAGCUUUACGGAACUAAGGUUGACUUUAUGAAACAUGGAGCCAUAAAGCCCCUUGGAAAUGUUGGCCUGAUACCUUGCUUCCGGAGUUCCCAGUAGCCUUACCAGGUGAGUAAAGAAUGUCCCUUCCUGGCAGGUGCAAGAACCUCAGGAUGUUUGGGGACCUCAUGAAGAGGAACUUCCCCAAAUCUACAGGGUCAAGACUCCUUCCCUGCCAUAACUUCCAGCCGACAGAUGAUCCUUUCUACUCAAGGGAGGUUCACAUAUGUUGUCCACCUUGGAAUGGCUGCCUCUGCCUUUGGUAACUCGUAGAGAUAGAGAUAGGACACAUAUUUUCCAACUGACCAGUGUUGACCCAUAGGUAGGGACAUCUCUACACCCCUAUUCAAUAGGAAGAAGCUACAGAAGAUGAGACUGUAAUAGGUCAACUUAUAAGAUAUCAGAAAGCUUAUUGUAUAUAAGUUUGGCUUAAACUCACCUUUCAUGAAUAGUCGAGAUAAAAGGCUUAUGUAGUUCCCUAUUAGGGUGAUCGGAAAUUACUAACCGCCCUAUCUCACUUCUGUGACCUUGCCAGCUUGCUAAAUAGAUAACUUGGGAUGGAAAACGCUUCCCCUCCCCCUCUACCAAGAUCUGGCCUGGGCAAGACCAACAUGUAAAACGUCACAUACUCACCUACGGCAUCUCAGGUGUCCAACUAUGAUUGGUCAUUUUAAACCCUCCUAGGACAAAGACUUUUAAAUUGAUAGGUUCCCGCCAAAACUAACGUCUGUGUGUCACAAUAUAAUUGGCUACCAUGAAAUGCUGUAAAUUGUAAUUGGUUAACCAAAUAAUGGCGUAUUCUGACUUGCUAAAAUCCAUAUAAGCUCACGGCUGCCUUUGUUAGGGGCCAUUCUCUGCACUUUUCUCCUUAAGAUCAGGAGAUCAGGUUUGGCCCGACCGUGAAUAAAAUCUUGCCUCGCUUCUA